rnacentral:tRNA from 2 species
AGGAAUAGUUCAGUCGGUAGAACGUCGGUCUCCAAAACCGAAUGUCGUGGGUUCGAGUCCUACUUCCUC